UACGUAGGGUGCAAGCGUUGUCCGGAAUUAUUGGGCGUAAAGGGCGCGUAGGCGGUCCUGUAAGUCUUGUGUGAAAUCCCUCGGCUUAACUGAGGAACUGCACGAGAUACUGCGAGACUUGAGUUCGGGAGAGGAAAGCGGAAUUCCGGGUGUAGCGGUGAAAUGCGUAGAUAUCCGGAGGAACACCGGUGGCGAAGGCGGCUUUCUGGACCGACACUGACGCUGAGGCGCGAAAGCUAGGGGAGCAAACGGG
rnacentral:rRNA from 1 species